rnacentral:misc_RNA from 1 species
GCAAACUUGGUCAUUUAGAGGAAGUAAAAGUCGUAACAAGGUUUCCGUAGGUGAACCUGCGGAAGGAUCAUUAUCAAUCUUAGCGGGGGGACCCUUGAGGUUUUUUCGCGUAUAUACUUAAAACCCAACUCUUAUAUGAAUCAUCAUUUUUUAUGUGAAAUAAAAAAUAAAAAAGAUCACUUUCAACAACGGAUCUCUUGGCUCUCAGAGACAGGCAAACUUGGUCAUUUAGAGGAAGUAAAAGUCGUAACAAGGUUUCCGUAGGUGAACCUGCGGAAGGAUCAUUAUCAAUCUUAGCGGGGGGACCCUUGAGGUUUUUUCGCGUAUAUACUUAAAACCCAACUCUUAUAUGAAUCAUCAUUUUUUAUGUGAAAUAAAAAAUAAAAAAGAUCACUUUCAACAACGGAUCUCUUGGCUCUCGCAUCGAUGAAGAACGCAGC